rnacentral:rRNA from 1 species
UACGGAGGGUGCGAGCGUUGUCCGGAUUUAUUGGGUUUAAAGGGUCCGUAGGCGGUUUGGUAAGUCAGUGGUGAAAGCCCAUCGCUCAACGGUGGAACGGCCAUUGAUACUGCCAGACUUGAAUUAUUAGGAAGUAACUAGAAUAUGUAGUGUAGCGGUGAAAUGCUUAGAGAUUACAUGGAAUACCAAUUGCGAAGGCAGGUUACUACUAAUGGAUUGACGCUGAUGGACGAAAGCGUGGGUAGCGAACAGG